AACGACAACCACAAACCGAAGGAAGCUAGUGAGAGAUAACCCACCAGCAACAAAGCCAUUGAAGGCAACCAAGCCACUAAAGACAAAUCCACGGGAGGUGGUGGUGUGAACACACGAGCCAGAGCUCUAUGCAUUUCCCGAAAAAAUGGCGUCAAAAUGCGUUCCUACAUCUGUUUCUUUUGAAAUUAUAAUCCUUGCAAAUAAUAUAUGUGGAUGCAAAUUUCUUCCUCCUUGAUCUUGGACAAUUUUGCACCUACAAAACAAUUAACACCUUAGGUUAAGGCCAAGAGCCUCACGCGCCCACGAUGAAUGGGGGGGGCUUUGGCCGGAGAACCUUCGAUGCCAAAGUUAGAAUUUAGAGAGAAAGAGUGUUUAGAGAAUUUUGGGAUUUUUGCCAAAGUGUUGGACUUGCUUUUUGGUGGAAAUGGGAGCCUAUAUAUAGGGAUAGGAGGUGGCCGGCCUAGCUAGGGGUUUUGGGUUAAAUUUAGGUUUAAUUAGGGUAAUUAAAAAGAGAAAAUAUGGUAGAAAAGGUAGAAAACAUGGAGGAUGGCCGGCCAUGUGGUGUUUUAUGGGUCACCAUGUGGUGUUUUAUGGGUCAAAGGGAUCACUUAAUUGACAAUUUAAGGGAUUAAAUAGGCAAUUAACCCCUUAAUUGGCCAUUUAUCAUGAUUUUUAGAAGGAAGGUUUUAGAAGUUAUGGAAAGAAUAAAAUAAAUAGCUAAUUGAUUAGCUAAAAGAGGGAAAAAGAGGUAAGAAAUAUAUGGAAUGAAAUAGGUUUUAAAUUGAUACCUAUUUUGGGCACUUUUGACUUGGUUUAGGGAUGAUUGCCCGCUGCUCGCGCGUAGGAAUCCCAGUAUGCCUUAAGGGUAAUUUUGUCCUCUUUUACCCAAGAAUUCACGUGUCGCCUUGUGAUUAUUUUUGGCUCCACAAAUGCCCCCACACCUGUUGGGCUGCUCGCAAGAAAUGGCAGCAGGUGUAGAGAUCUUCUUGCUUUAGGAAACUUAAGACUGCUUCCUAUUUUGAUGUUGAUUCUCUCUUUAAUAGGAAAUUAGAUCCUUCUAGGAAAGGGAAAUAAAUUUCUCUCAAAGCCUAUUUAAGUCCACCUUAAGUGGGUUAUUAAAUCAACUUUGGAGAGAGAUUUAUUCUACCUUACAAGAGAGAGAUAGCUUAGAGGAUAUUUGUUCCCCCUCCUCUAGCAAUCUUCUACAUCUUGCCUGUGCAAAGGACCGUCUUUCAUUGCUUUCUUCAUCUUCUUCGUGCCGCACCAAUGUAAGAAAAAAUUAAUUUUCCUUGUCUUGUUCUUGGAUGGUGCUACCGUGGAGCAGCCGUCAGGGUGGUGCAGCAUGUCGGCUGGCAUGGGCCAGGAGUCGUCUCGGCAUGGGUCGAUGAGGUAUUGUGGCAGGGACCACUGCUUUAAGUUGCUCGACUUGGCUAGAACUAAGGGCAGCUUGUAUGGCUGGGGCCACGGAUUGUGGCGCUGUGCUAGGCGAGUCACAUGGCUCAUGUCCUUUUAGGCUUUUGGACAUGACGCGAGCUAGGCAUGUGAUUGAGAGAAAUGAAGAGGUUGCGAGCCUCAUGAGCUGUUGGAAUGUUGGGUUGAACUCCUCUGCUGGGUACCACGAAUGACGUUGGCUACUUUAACUCUCUUCGUCAGGAGAAACGUGGGCUGCUCCCAAAAGAAGAGGUGAAUAGGAUCAAGGCGGAUGCAUUGGCUCGUCCAAUCACUGUUGUGGAUCCUACUGUAAGUGAAUGUGGGAAAAGGGAUCUUCCUUGCCUGCUUAAGAGAUGUCGGUUGAGAAAAAAUGAAAGACUUCUUUCGCUGCUCGCGCGGGCUCGCUGACUGCCUCCAGGCUUGUGAUUGACUUGACUUUUUCCAAGGGGACGAAAAAUGAGGCUGCUAGAUCUGAGCAUGUGGCGUCUGCCAUGUUAAGAAUGGCUAGUAUGAUUGCUGAUAGGAUUGUUCGGCAUAAAGGUCCUGUCAUGCCCCUAGUGCUUAAUUUUGUACCAAGACGUUUGUUGGGAGCUAAGUCCGGUUCACCUUUGGAGAGGCUUGCUAUUAUGAAAAGCGAUAAGGUGGACUCUGCUGCUGAAGUGGCGCUAAGGCCCAUUCCUUAUGCUGCUGAGACUAAUUCGCCUGCUGGGAAUGAGAAGACUGCUCGCGUAGGCAGCUGUGAGAAAUCCACUAAGCCUGUUUCUGGGGAGGCUGCUGAGAUUUAUGUGCUUUUGAAACCAGAUCUUUUGAAAACAUGGACAUUUGUGCCAAGUUUGUUGAUGGCAUCAGAAAGGUUGUUUGCCCAAGCUCGUUUACGAAGCAUACGACCCAAUAUAGAAGGACUGCUCUGCUUGCCAUGAUGCAGAUAUAGCAAGGCUGCUAAGGAGACGGCAAAUACUAUGGCAGAUUCUGAGCUCAUUGCUUUGAAGGGGUCUAAUAUUUUUGCCCCUACUUCUUUGCAGCUUGAGACCGCUCGCCAAAAGAUCGUUAACUUGAAGACUAGGCUUGACGCGAUCCAAGUUAAGCAUGAAAGUGUAGAGAAGGAGAUUGGAUGUUACAUACCUCAGAUUCAAGAUCUUGAGUAUGCAGUUUUUUAGCUUCGUUUCGCUGCUUAUGCAAAGGAUGAAAAGUUGAUUGCUGCUUAUAAUCAAGUGAUCCACUUCAAGAGAAUCAUCGAUAAGCUUGAACCCCAAGUGUUGGAACUUCAAGGUGUACUGAAGAUCAACAAAAGUCUGAAUAAGGAAGUGGAUGAGCUGCAGAGCAUCCAUGUUGGUCUGCUCGAGGAGGAUGAGCAGCUGAAAGGUGAAAAGGUUGGGCUCGGGGUUUCAAGACCUUCUCUAUAUCUUCGGAAGACUUGCUUGAUUUUACUUUUGAGGCUUCUAUUGGUGAAGUAGUUGGAGAAGUUAGUGCCCAGGCUGGGGCAGCCGAGGGUGAAGCGCCGGAUGAUACCGCUGCUAAGAGCGUCGCAGCUGCUGAAGGUAUGGCGACCGAGUAGUCGUGAGAUGUCCAAGCUGCUAUAGCCUUCUAGGUAGCCUUUAAGAUUUUAUUUGUUUUUUCUUGUAGCUCUCGUUUUGCUUGAACUCCUUCGGCCUUUGCUAGUUGUUUAUAAACAUGUUUUCCUUCACAUUUCUUCAUCUUCGCUUCUUUUGUUCAUGCCCUAACCUUUAGACUUGAUAUACCAGUGGCAGGCAUGCUACUUUUUAUAAGCAGACAAGCCCGCAUAGCCUAUGCAGUCGUAGCUGUUGGUGUAGAACUUUGCAAAGUUGUUAGCCAUAGGGUUGGCAGCCGGAUACCUUACUUACAGAAGCAGACAAGUCCGCAUAACCACUAGGCUGUUAACUUGACUUUCUUCAAUUCCGUAGGUUGUGUAGUAAGUAUCACAACACUUUAGAACUUGGUGUAGGUUGUUCCGCACUUGGUAGAGGUGAAGCUUAUUGACUACGUAGCAUGUCGGCAGUGGAUAAAACUUUGUAUAUGCACGCCAGCUUGUUUAACCUUUCACAAGAAUGUGUGGUUGUAUAAGUCUAGAGUGCUUUACUGCUAAAAAGGCAAGCCAUAGGCAGUCUUCCGGAAUCCGUAGGCUACCUUAGUGCACUCGGUAGUAGCUUUAGGAUUCCAAGGCAUGGUCUAUAGGGCGUAUUGCGUAAUGUGCCCCCUCCGUCUCUAGGGCCCAGUUCCCCGCGGAUUAGGCCGAGAGACCCAAAAUCCUUUAGUUAGCUAAGCCUUGAAAAAGACCAUUGUGGCUAAUUCUAGGAAUCCUGGCGCAAGCCAUCAUGCAUCUAGUUAUACUAGGGUAGCCAGGCUCAUCCACGUCUGGAUAUUCGGAGUGUAAAGUUUAUCCUCUCGUCUUGGAGAGCUGACCCAUAUGGGUGUAGGGAAAUUGGUUUACCCUCUCGCACUGGAGAGCAAUUAGUUUACCCUCUCGCACUGGAGAGCAUGGUUGGUCUCUCGAGGGGCGCAAUUCCUGCUAUGGGUCCCUAAGAAGGACGCUGUCUUCUUUUGAAGUGUCGGAGUGAUCAGUUGUUGUAAGCAUGCAGUCGAGCCAAAUUGUGAUUAAUUCUGAAUUCCUCAUUGAAAAACGAGUGAAAUAAACGAGAACUUAGCUGUAAGGUAGGAACUGCAUAACAACUAGAUAGUCAUCGACUUGUGAGGUGGUGCCCGUUGAGCUUCUUGAGUCUUUAGGCUUUGAUGUAAUGGAAGGUCACACAUGGUAUUUCUUCAGAUUGUAGGUGCUCCACUACUUUUCGAUCUUUUUAUCGAUUCAUGGUGGCGAGGGUGUAAUUACUCUUACCGCCUAUUCUACUGAUUUUGUACGGACCUUCCCAGAUGAGAUCCAUCUUUUUGGAGCCUUCUUUGUGGGCAAUGAUGAAGGCUCUUCUUAGGAGUAGAUCUUUGGGCUGGAACUGCCAAAUCUUGGCCCUUUUGUUGUAGCUGGAAAUGAACUACUGCUGGUAAGCUGUGAUGCGGGUGAUAGUCUACUCGUACUUUUCCUCUGUUAGAUUUAAGCUUGUGGCCAUCUCUUUUCGGUUACUCGUCUUUUGGUGGUGCGAUAUGCCCAUAGACAUCCAGGGGUUCGUCUGGCCAUUUUCUUUUCUUACUGGUGGGGGAUUUCUUGUGGCAGUCGAAGAUCAUCUUGGUGGAUACUUUGGCAUGCUUAUUGCCUUGAGAAUAUCUUGGCGUAGACAUGUGCUGCUUGAUGCCAUAUUUUUGGAAGAACUUUGCCAAAUCUUUGCCCACGAUUUGCGGGCUGUUGUUGGUGACGAUGGAUUAAGGGAUGCCAAAUCAGUAAAUGAUGUUCCUCCAUAUAAAGCGCUCUAUGUCCGUAUGAAUCGUGGUCGUCAUGGGCUCUGCUUCUACCUAUUUGGUGAAGUAGUCGGUUGCCACGUUCAUCAUGCCUUUGCCCCUAGUAAUCUGGCUAGUGAUUAGCUGGGAAUCGGAAUGAAUUGAAAGAUUUUUCACCGUCAAGUCUUUUGUCAUUCGAAGGCCUGCUAGUGGGGCUUCAUACUCUGCUUCCUUGUUAGAUGCUUUGAAACCUAGAAUGAUCGCCUACUCGGGCAUCGAACCGCCUGGGGUGACAAGGACCACGUCUGCUCUGAACCUUUGUAGUUGGAUGCACUGUUGACAUGCAAAUGCCAGAAGUCUCCAUCGGGUGGAGCAAGCGCGGCUGAAGUGUGCUCAACUACCUUCGGGGCGUCAUUGGGCCGCUCUGUUACAUUGUCAAGGCUAGGUGUGAAGGUGCGGUAGGGAGCCAUGGAACUAGGGCCAUGUUACAUGUGGCAGGAGAUGCUCAACUGCCGGUAUUGGGCCACUCUAGAGCUGAAUAAUGGAGCAAGGGUCGGCUAGGGUCAUGUGACACGCAGCAGGAGGUAGUGUUCAACUGCCGGUACAUGUUGCUCUUAUGUAGAAUCUUCUAGGGCGACGAGGAUAAAACUUGCUUAUGAGUGUUCCUUCCAGUGUUCGUCUGCCCUUGGCGUGUCUUUUGGGCUGAGUUGUUGCGUUCGUCAGAAAACUUUGCAUCCGCCAAGGUCUACGCCUUUAUUGUUGUGCGUCUGGAUUCAACGGAAUAAUGUGUCAUGAUGAUGACUGCGUGCGAGAAGAGCUUUCAGGUUACAACAAAUAUUGCCAAAGUUAACUUUUGAAUUUCUAAUAGCAUCGAAGAGAGCUUUUAAACUGUAGAAUACAGGUAGUCAGGCCCCCAGCUUUUCUUGCAUGAUGAUAGAGCUUAUUGCUGCUCUAGAUACCGUCAAACAUGUGAAUAAGUCCUCUACUGCUUCCGGUUUGGAUAGUAGGGAUGUGACGUCGGGUAUUUCUUCAAGUUUUUGAAUGUGCAUUGGCGAUCCUCGUCCCAAAGUGCAUGCUUCUCUGCCAGAGUUAGAUCUUCUUUCAUUAUCAGUUUUCUGAAUAGUGGGUGGUCUGCUGGAAGUUCUUUUUGGAAGGCUGCUCUAGCUAUCGAGUCGUUACAUCCGACUAUUUUUGCCUUCUAUGCUUUGAACCUCCUCACAUAGUUGCGAAGCGACUCUUUUGGGUUUUUCUUAACGUCGAACAAAUGGUCGGACUUUUUUUUGAUCGAGCGAUAGGAUGAAUAUUCUUUGGUGAAAACCAAAGAAAGUUCGUCAAAAUUCCGGAUGGAUUGUGGUGGCAGGGUGUAGAACCAAUCUUGCACUUCGCCUUGUAAAGUGGUGGCGAAUAUCUUGCACAUAAGAUCAUCAUUGUUUCGAUAAAGGAUCAUUGCGAUUCGGUAGCGCUUUAAGUGUCUCUCCGGAUCUUCAUCCCCUUUGAAAGAUGCGAAAUGUGGCAUGCUGAACUCGCGUGGAGGCUCUGCUUGCUCGAUCUCGUCCGUGAAGGGUGACCUGCUUAUGUUGGUCAUGUUCCGUCGUAGUGCCUCGUCGGUGACCUUGUUGCGCUGGAAAUCAUGCAAUCGCUUAGUCAAUAGUCUCUCUACUUCUUCCUGAAUUUGCCUUUAUUGGGGUAACGGAGCACUCGGCUGCCCCCAGCCAUGACUUGCUGGUCUAGGCUUCUCUUCCAUGUGUUUGGCUUGUCUAUGCCGCAGAUGCAGUGCAUGUGGUGCGUUCCUAGUAGGUGAGCGAGUUUUUCGCAAGCUGCUGGUUGAACUUGAGCUGGAUUGAGUGACUGCUUCUCUCCGUCCGUCAUGCUACCUACUCUGAUGUGAGGUGGAGGAUGCUCUUUGCAGGCUUAGCCGUGAAUGAACACUUUGCCAGAAAGGUUGCUCAAGUUGACUAUUGGAGUGUGACCCCAACCGUGAAUGUAUGCUCAUCCGUGGGCUUAGUCUAGAGUGCACGCUCCUCCGCGAUCUAAGACGGGAGUAUACGCUAUCUCGGGGGCCCAAUCGAAAAUGUACACUGCCCGAACGUUUGGCUCGUGGCUGGUUGAGUGGCUGUUUGCCGGGACGCUGCUGGAAAGGUUCGUCUGCUCUUGUCCUACUUCGGGAUAACUCCUCUGGGGCACGUUGGAUCUCGAUGCAUUGCAAAAGUUGAUUCACCAAGGUUGUCUGUUGUGCAAGGGCGCUCGUCAACUCUAUGACUUGUCGAGACAAGUGUUGUUCGCCAUUUGGAUUGGAAGAGCUUGGAAGGAAUGCGCCUUUUUGGGCAGUGGAAGGGUGGUAGACUCUGUGCACGAGAUUUGAGUUGGAAAAUGUCAAGUCUGUGAAAAAAUGUGGUGAGAAUGCCCCCGGCUCGAUGGUAGGUCCGGAUGGUUGAGAUAGUCUUGGGCCGACUUUGGCUGCUUGGAAAGCCACGGGAGCAGGCUGGGCCACGAGAGCAGGCUGGGCCAUAAGAGUGGGCUACUCGAUGGGAGCAGGUUGGACCACAGGAGUGGGCUGCUCGUCGGGAGCAGGCUGCUUGGCGGGAGCAGGCUGAACCACGGGAGUGGGUUGCUCGUCGGGAGCAAGCUGGGCCACGAGAGUAGGCUGUUUGGCGGGAGCAGGCUGGGCUGUGAGAGCAAGUUGGGCCAUGAGAGCAGGCUGGGCCGGGAGAGUGGGCUGCUCGUUGGGAGCAGGCUGGACCACGGGAGUGGGCUGCUCAGCGCGUAGGGGUGGGCACUUAGAACCGAAAAUCGAAACCGAAACACGAAUUGAAUCAAACCGCACCAAACAGUUUGGUUUUGCGGUUUUGAAACGGUUUCGGUUUCAAAACCGAACCGCGGCACCCAAAACGGUUUGGUUUCGAUUUUGGGUUUUCAAAACCGCACCGAAACCGAAACCGCACCAUAUAAUGAAUAAAUGUUAUAUAACUUAUAUUUUAAACUUUUCAACUAGGUUAUAACUUAUAGGUUUGUAUUAUGGCAAACUUAACCUUUCAAUUGGGUUGUAAAGUAUUGUGAUUGGUGAUCAAGUUCAAUUUUAGUAGAUGUGAUGCAUAAGGAUUUAAAAUUUAAACCCUUUGAUGCAUUGGAUGUUGUCUCAAUUUUAGUAGUUGUCAUUUGCUGCAGUUUUGGUACAAGUUUGGUACAAAUUAGCUGCACUUUUGGUGCUGUUUUGGUGCUGUUUUUUUAUGCAGUUUUGCUGCAUUAUUUUUUGGUGCAAUUUUGUGCAGUUUUGGUGCAGUUUUGUGCAGUUUUUUGUGCAGUUUUGCCGCUGUUUUUAUGUAGUUUUGCUGCAUUUUUUUGGUGUAGUUUUGUGCAGCUUUGGUGCAGUUUUUGGUAUUGUUUUGGUGCUGUUUUUUAUGCAGUUUUGCUGCAUUUUUUUUUUGCAGUUUUGACUCUUUUUUGCUGCAGUUUUGCUGUAAUUUUACUGCAUAUUCAUUAAUUAAUAUACGAAGAAAAUAAGACCGUCUUAUGCAUAAAUAUGUGUAUAUUUUAAAUUGUAAAUUUUUUUUUCUCAAAAACCAAACCAAAACCGUUUGAAACCGCAUCGCACCGAACCGAACGGUUUGGUUUCAUUUCGGUUUUGGCUUCAAAAUCGCACCGCACCGCACCGCAAAAUGUUUCGGUUUCGGUUGUGGUUUCACUCGAAACCGCACCAAACCGCACCGCGCCCACCCCUAUCAGCGCGUGAUGCAUGCAAAUGCGAGGCUUAGGCUCGGACGCGUGCAAGCUUGGAUGGCACGGCUUGGGCCGUGGCCUUGGUGCCGUGAGCCUUGGAUGGCACAGCUCGGGUCGUGGUGAAAGCACCAUGGACCUCGCCACGAGUGGCUACCGAGGUAGCCACCGUAGUGGUUCCCGUGGUGGAAACUCGUGGUGGUGGUGCUGCUCCACCUAUUACCGCAUUUAGCCUCGCGGAUCUCCGCAAUCCCAUUUCUUGAACAUUAGAAUUUUCACUUGUGGAAUUUUCUAAAUUUCUAGCCAUUAUAUUUUGCUUAUACGUUUUAUCAAAGAACCUUUGCAAGUAAAAAAUUCUAAUAAUAAGAACGUAUGAAAAAUAUUCAAAUGGACUAGAAAAUAAAGAAAAAACCUUUUUGUGCGAGAGUCUUCUACGAGUAUGGAUUUCAACUCUCAAUGAAAGCACCAAUUUGUGGAUGCAAAUUUCUUCCUCCUUGAUCUUGGACAAUUUUGCACCUACAAAACAAUUAACACCUUAGGUUAAGGCCAAGAGCCUCACGCGCCUAUGAUGAAUGGGGGGGCUUUGGCCGAAGAACCUCCGAUGCCAAAGUUAGAAUUUAGAGAGAAAGAGUGUUUAGAGAAUUUUGGGAUUUUUGCCAAAGUGUUGGACUUGCUUUUUGGUGAAAAUGGGAGCCUAUAUAUAGGGAUAGGAGGUGGCCGGCCUAGCUAGGGUUUUUGGGUUAAAUUUAGGUUUAAUUAGGGUAAUUAAAAAGGGAAAAUGUGGUAGAAAAGGUAGAAAACAUGGAGGAUGGCCGGCCAUGUGGUGUUUUAUGGGUCACCAUGUGGUGUUUUAUGGGUCAAAGGGAUCACUUAAUUGACAAUUUAAGGGAUUAAAUAGGCAAUUAACCCCUUAAUUGGCCAUUUAUCAUGAUUUUUAGAAGUUAUGGAAAGAAUAAAAUAAAUAGCUAAUUGAUUAGCUAAAAGAGGGAAAAAGAGGUAAGAAAUAUACGGAAUGAAAUAGGUUUUAAGUUGAUACCUAUUUUGGGCACUUUUGACUUGGUUUAGGGAUGAUUGCCCGCUGCUCGCGCGUAGGAAUCCCAGUAUGCCUCAAGGGUAUUUUUGUCCUCUUUUACCCAAGAAUUCACAUGUCGCCUUGUGAUUAUUUUUGGCUCCACAAUAUAUAUAUAUAUAUAUAUAUUAUUUUUUAAAAUUUUUCUAAUCCUUAAUACUUUUGUAUUAUGAGCCUUUGCAACUAGAAAUUAAAAUUCUCCAUCUAAUCCAACACCAUUAAACACAUAGACCCCGAAUUUAAAAAAUGUCUGUACACCCUACAAUCACAAGAGCUAAAUUGCAGAAAUGAAGACAAAAGAUAGCACUAAGAGGGAGAAAGCUUAAGUGGUGAAACAGUGACAACAUCGUUACCCGUAAAGCCAUAUAAGAAAAAAUAAAAAAUAAAAAAAGUCGAUUUCCAACCAUUAAUGUUGAUAUGUGUUGAUGCAAAGAGUUUGAGAGAGAGACCCAGAUGCAGAUGGGAGAUAGAAAGAUAUAAAGGAGGAGGUAGACGAAGGAAAAUGCUCUGCAAUGUCAUUUCACGAGAAUAAAAGGUUGAAGUACGCUCACUCGCUUUGAUAAGUUUUUUAUUUUAUUUUCUUUCUCUUUGUUCUUAUUAUUAAAUAAAGUUAUUAGAUAACUUUUGUUUUUAUUUUUUUGUCAAAUGGAUAAAACUUUCGAUUAAAAUUCAAAGUUUUGAAAUCUUUUUUAUUAGUUUUCCUUAAAAGUAAACACUAAUAACAUGACCACCACGUGUUGGAAGUAUGCCUACAAAGCCACUCAUUUGAUGUAAUAGCUUUUGGAAUACUUAUUGUAUUAAACUAUUAUAUGUUUA
rnacentral:lncRNA from 1 species